rnacentral:rRNA from 1 species
GCCAAUGCUAGCCCUAAGCAUAACCAACACUAAUACCAAACUAACAUACACUAAACCAUUCACCUACACAAAGUAUAGGCGAUAGAAAUUUUAAUCUGGCGCUAUAGACAUAGUACCGUAAGGGAAAGAUAGAAAACCACCCAAGCACAAAACAGCAAAGACUAACUCCUGUACCUUUCGCAUAAUGAAUUAGCUAGAAACAAUUUUACGAAGAGGACUACAAGCCAAAUCCCCCGAAACCAGACGAGCUACCCAAAAACAGCUAAAAGAGCGCACCCGCCUAUGUGGCAAAAUAGUGGGAAGAUUUCUGGGUAGAGGUGACAAGCCUACCGAGCCUGGUGAUAGCUGGUUAUCCAAGACAGAAUCUUAGUUCAACCUUAAGCUUACCUAUAGAACUACCUAAUCCCCCUGUAAGCUUAACUGCUAGUCUAAAGAGGGACAGCUCUUUAGACACUAGGAAAAAACCUUACGGAGAGAGUAAAACCCUCAAUCACCAUAGUUGGCUUAAAAGCAGCCAUCAAUUAAGAAAGCGUUCAAGCUCAACACUAACCACCACAAAAAUACCAAACACAUAACUGAACUCCUCACACCACAUUGGAUUAAUCUAUCACCAUAUAGAAGCAACAAUGCUAGUAUAAGUAACAUGAAUAUUUUCUCCACUGCAUAAGCCUAAAUCGGACCGAAAGCCUCACCGAUAUUUAACAGCCAGGCAUAACAAGCACAAACAAGCCCAUGCCACCUUCACUGUUAACCCAACACAGGCAUGCCCCAAGGAAAGGUUAAAAAAAGUAAAAGGAACUCGGCAAACCCAAACCCCGCCUGUUUACCAAAAACAUCACCUCUAGCAUUACUAGUAUUAGAGGCACUGCCUGCCCGGUGACACACGUUUAACGGCCG